CGCUACUACCGAUUGAAUGGUCCGGUGAACCUUCUGGACUGAGACCGGGCUUGAACCGGUAACGGGAAGUUAUGUAAACCUUAUCACUUAGAGGAAGGAGAAGUCGUAACAAGGUU
rnacentral:rRNA from 1 species